rnacentral:rRNA from 1 species
GAUGAACGCUGGCGGCGUGCCUAAUACAUGCAAGUCGAGCGAACGGACGAGAAGCCUGCUUCUCUGAUGUUAGCGGCGGACGGGUGAGUAACACGUGGAUAACCUACCUAUAAGACUGGGAUAACUUCGGGAAACCGGAGCUAAUACCGGAUGAUAUUUUGAACCGCAUGGUUCAAAAGUGAAAGACGGUCUUGCUGUCACUUAUAGAUGGAUCCGCGCUGCAUUAGCUAGUUGGUAAGGUAACGGCUUACCAAGGCAACGAUGCAUAGCCGACCUGAGAGGGUGAUCGGCCACACUGGAACUGAGACACGGUCCAGACUCCUACGGGAGGCAGCAGUAGGGAAUCUUCCGCAAUGGGCGAAAGCCUGACGGAGCAACGCCGCGUGAGUGAUGAAGGUCUUCGGAUCGUAAAACUCUGUUAUUAGGGAAGAACAUAUGUGUAAGUAACUGUGCACAUCUUGACGGUACCUAAUCAGAAGGCCACGGCUAACUACGUG